UACGUAGGAGGCAAGCGUUGUCCGGAAUUACUGGGCGUAAAGCGCACGUAGGCGGCUUUUUAAGUCAGGGGUGAAAUCCUGGAGCUCAACUCCAGAACUGCCUUUGAUACUGAAGAUCUUGAGUCCGGGAGAGGUGAGUGGAACUGCGAGUGUAGAGGUGAAAUUCGUAGAUAUUCGCAAGAACACCAGUGGCGAAGGCGGCUCACUGGCCCGGUACUGACGCUGAGGUGCGAAAGCGUGGGGAGCAAACAGG
rnacentral:rRNA from 1 species